rnacentral:pre_miRNA from 1 species
CAGCCAGAUGGUUUACCACGAAGGGGUGCCACCUAAGAACCCAGGCGGUUUGGCCUGAGCUAGGCCUUUGCCAAGCUGCUAUGAAAAGGAAGGCUGAAUGCUAAUGCAGCCAGCAGCAACCGGUUGUGUUCUCAGGUCACCCCUUCGCGGUACUUCUAUCUUCGC